rnacentral:rRNA from 1 species
CCUACGGGGUGCUGCAGUGAGGAAUAUUGGUCAAUGGCCGUAAGGCUGAACCAGCCAAGUCGCGUGAAGGAAGAAGGAUCUAUGGUUUGUAAGCAUCUUUUAUAGGGGAAUAAAGGUAUCCACGUGUGGAUAUUUGCAUGUACCCUAUGAAUAAGCGUCGGCUAACUCCGUGCCAGCAGCCGCGGUAAUACGGAGGAUGCGAGCGUUAUCCGGAUUUAUUGGGUUUAAAGGGUGCGUAGGUUGUUUUUUAAGUCAGCGGUGAAGGUUUGUGGCUCAACCAGAAAAUUGCCGUUGAAACUGGAAGACUUGAGUGUGGUUGAGGUAGGCAGAAU